UCUAAUUCUAAGUACACAAGCAAUAUUGUAAAACAUAUAGCUCAUGAGGUUUGUGUGGAGCAAAUUUGCCUAUAAAUUUGGUUGAUCUCAUAUUGAAGAUUCAACGUAAAAUGGCGAAUACUGCACUUCAAUUAGUUUUCUUUGCUCUCCUUUUAAUCAGCUCUUCAGGUAUACAUUGUUUCUCAAAAAAGUUUGAAGUGGAAGCCAUGGAAUUGCAACCAACAGGAAUUAUUAGAAGGGAUUCCACUGCCCCAUGCCAUGCGUCUUGUGAGACACAUCAAGACUGCAUUGAUGCUAAUUGUGGUAAAAAAUGUUUCAUCAUGUCACGCCCUAUUAAUAAAAUCAGUCAUUGUCUUAGUUAAUUAAUGACAUCUUUCUUCCAAUUAUUUUCAAUAAAUUAAAAUGAACUAUGGAGUGUUCGCAAUAAUUAUAGGCAAUAAUAAUAAUUUGAUGUAACGGUUGUUGUGAUUGUAAGAUGAAGUUAAAUAAUUUAUCUUUGUUUUCAUUUACUUGGAGUUUUUGAUCCAGUUUUGC